GCCAGCCUGCCCGGCGACGGAGCAUGCGGGCCUGGGGUCAGGCAGGCCAGAAGAAUACACGUGGACGGAAUAACCCCAGCGUGGCAUGUCUGGGGUGUACAGCUUAGGAGGGCGCUAGCAUGUCCUAUGACUCGGCCAGCUGGCGGCUCUGGGACAGGACAUACAAAGUCCUGAAAUGCUGCCAGCUGCGGAAAUCAAACGGAAAAAGGAGUUCCUGGGCCAUAUCCCUUAAAACAAACAAACAAACAAGUGGGGACAGGGAAGAAAUGCUCGGAAUGCCGCCAGGUCCCCUUCCCGGAGCCCUGACCCUACAGGGCCUGAGGCCGCCCCAGGCUCUGUGCUUCUUGCGAGGGAUAAAGAAAAUUAUUAACACAAAGGAAUUUUGCUGUCAUGGAGAUUGCUCCCUCUGGCAGACAUUUGGGGGGUCUUGGUGGGGAGCCCCUCAGGGUUUGAAUUCAUGGGUGGGAAGAACCUCCUGGAAGAUUCCAGAGACGAAAGGUUCUUGGGGAGAAACAGCCAUGAACUCCACGGGUUGCUGGAGGGACCUGGGCACUCAAAGCAGUGGUUCGAAGCCCUGGCCUGGCGGUGUGGAGGCCCCUCUCCUGGAACCCUCCACAAUGUCUGGAAAUGACACAGCAUUCCUCACUCUGAAGAUAAACAGCAGCAGCAUUCGGGAGACCCCUGGGUGUUGCACUGGUCAGAGGUUCGGGUUCUGGAGGCUCAGGAGAGGUGGCGGUGCAUUCUGAGGUCAAAGAAACCGGGAAGGAGGUGUCACCCGCGUGAAGAGGGGGACCCAGAUCCCCCGCCGCUGGCCGCCCGGGAGGAGGGUGCAAGCCUGUCGGCAGCAGCAGUCUGGCACAUGUGGAAGGUGCUUCCAGAAUUUCAGUUUGGAAAGUUGGAAAAAUUCCGGAUGGUGGUGACCGUUCCACAACGAUGCGAGUGUACGUGAUACCCCCGAGCUGUAUGAUUGAAAAGGGGUGGAAAGGGUAAACUUUGUGUUAUGCAUAUUUUACAAUAAAAAUGAAUUUCAGAGGAAACGUUAAUAUCACCUGGAAAGUUUCAGGAUAUAAAAGAAGGGGAAGGGAGAACCUGCUGAAUGAGGAACCAAGUCUCACUUUGGUGAACAGAAUGAAGCUACAAAAUAAAACUCGAAGCCCCUGCCCAGGGGGAUCCCCGCGGACACACCAGCACUUGUUCCCUCUGGAUUCCAGGGGACAGCUCGUUUCCUCUUCUGCUCUAGUUUUAAAUGUUUCGCUGCACUAACGUGAGCAAGUUGGUUGUUAAAUGCAAAAUGUAUCAUGGAAAAACGAAUACAAAAGGCCUGAGGACCACUUAAAACACAAAGGAUGGAAGAUGCGGAGAUGAAGUCGCUAUCACGAUGCUACCUUACAGCACGCACAGGACGGCUGUGCUGUCCCCGCGGGUUCCCAGGUGGAAUAUAGGCCUUGGAAACGUCUGGGAGCAACCUGGGGGCAAACAGCGGGAACUUGGAACAGCAGGAACGUGCAAGGAAUAGGGCAGAGCAGCUUUACAUGUUUAUUUUGUGUUCUGGGUGUGUGUGACUUAGUUACAGUGAUACUGAAUUUCUAACCAAUGUUUAGAAAGUAUUACCGU